rnacentral:misc_RNA from 1 species
UCCUGGUUAACCCAGGCAGUCUCUCUAGAGUGCCCAACUUAAUGCUGGCAACUAAAGAUAGAGGUUGCGCUCGUUGCGAGACUUAACCCAACAUUUCACAACACGAGCUGACGACAGCCAUGCAGCGCCUGUCUCUACAUUCCCCGAAGGGCACUCCCACAUCUCUGCAGGAUUCGUAGGAUUUCAAACCCAGGUAAGGUUUUGCGCGUUGCUUCGAAUUAAACCACAUAAUCCACCGCUUGUGCGGGCCCCCGUCAAUUUCUUUGAGUUUUAGUCUUGCGACCGUACUCCCCAGGCGGAAUACUUAAUGCGUUAGCUUCGUCACGACAGGGGUUAAUACCCAUCACAACUAGUAUUCAUCGUUUACGGCGUGGACUAC